GACGAACGCUGGCGGCGUGCUUAACACAUGCAAGUCGAACGGAAAGGCCCUGCUUUUGUGGGGUGCUCGAGUGGCGAACGGGUGAGUAACACGUGAGUAACCUGCCCUUGACUUUGGGGUAACUUCAGGAAACUGGGGCUAAUACCGGAUAGGAGCUCCUGCUGCAUGGUGGGGGGUGGAAAGGUUCGGCGGUUGGGGAUGGACUCGCGGCUUAUCAGCUUGUUGGUGGGGUAGUGGCUUACCAAGGCUUUGACGGGUAGCCGGCCUGAGAGGGUGACCGGCCACAUUGGGACUGAGAUACGGCCCAGACUCCUACGGGAGGCAGCAGUGGGGAAUAUUGCACAAUGGGCGGAAGCCUGAUGCAGCAACGCCGCGUGCGGGAUGACGGCCUUCGGGUUGUAAACCGCUUUCGCCUGUGACGAAGCGUGAGUGACGGUAAUGGGUAAAGAAGCACCGGCUAACUACGUG
rnacentral:rRNA from 1 species